CUUUUCUUCUCUACUACUAUGAAAGCUAGGAAACUUGGAAAAUUUUGCUUGACUCUGUCAUCUCAGUGCAUAAAAUAAUGCCUGGCACAUGGAAGGAAAGCACCCAUUAAAUACUUACAUUGUGAACAAGUAAGUGAGCGAGUGAAGUUGAAUGAAUCACUAAAGGACAAGACAGCCGUGGCCUCCCUGGAAUUGGGGUCUGUUGGCAUAGAGCUGUGAACACAUAAGAAGCUGCUCACAGGUGACAGGGGGCCAGUGCCCCACUGUUGGCCAAGCAUGUACCAUGAUGAUCUCAAGAGCGGUGUCACCCCUCACUGUACAGGGCAGCUGGAGCCCAUGACUAGAGCUUCAGAAAAACAUAAGGAAAAUUACCUUGGGUCUGAGAACCUCAGACAGGCUUGGAGGAGUGAGCCUUGCACAUCUGAGGAAGGAGGAGGCUCUAGGACAAGGAUGACUUGGCAAGCGUUGUUUGGACAGGAUUUUCCACUUCCCACCCAAGGACACUUUAGGUUGGUUGGAGAACUACUGCUCAAUCCCAGCAACCUGUACCUGCAGUUGGAUUACUGUUCUCUUUCUGGCCAUCCCCUCUUGCUGCCCUCUACCCUCCACCCCCAGCUUGGCCAUUGCAGAUCACCUCCACAAGGGAAGCACCUGAUGCUCGCCCCUGGUCACAGAGAUUGGUGCAGGCCAAUGAGCUUCAAGGAGACAUCACUGGGGAUUUCUAGGAAGGAAGUUUCCUAGUUCUCUGAGUGACUCUGUCAUCAAAAGGAAGAGGAAAGCCAGGAGUCACGGGCAGCCACCUUGUGACUCUGAGAUGAGCUAGCCGUGGGAUGAAGCAGAACCACAGGAGGCAGAGAGCCUGUUACUGAAUGAUCACACACCCCGAGGGACAGGAAGAGCCAAGUCCAAGAGCAAAGGAUUGUGGGAAGGCAAAGCAUCUAUAAUCACUGUAGGCCAGCACUUCCACCAAAUGAAGGGCUCGGUCUGUCGCCAAACACACCUGGUCCGGCCUCCUUCUGUGACAUCACACUCCAACAGCUUCUUGCCUACAAGCUCAAAUUCUAAAUCCUUAAGCCAGAAUUUAAGACGCCCUCAUCUGCCCCAGUCCAAUUUUCCUACUGCUCUCUCUCCACCCACCCCUGCAACUGUUCUGACUGCCCAGCCAGUUUGCUGUCCUCCAAAGACACCUUGCAGUCACGCUCUCCUGCGUCUGCUGCCCACCUCCCCAAGUCCAAUCAGCCCCGUCCCCAGUGGUCCCACCUAAAGUCAGUGCUAUUCAUGGUGACUCAUGUCCUUCCUUUCUGCUGUCUCCUUGCCUUUGCCCUUUGCUUCAGUCUCUAUUUCUUGGUUACACAAUAGA